CAGCACCUCAAGUGGUCAGGAUGAUUAUUGGGCCUAAAGCAUCCGUAGCCUGCUUUGUCAGUUUUCGGUUAAAUCCAUACGCUUAACGUAUGGGCUGCCGGGAAUACUGCAAAGCUAGGGAGUGGGAGAGGUAGACGGUACUCGGUAGGAAGGGGUAAAAUCCUUUGAUCUAUUGAUGACCACCUGUGGCGAAGGCGGUCUACCAGAACACGUCCGACGGUGAGGGAUGAAAGCUGGGGGAGCAAACCGGAUUAGAUACCCGGGUAGUCCCAGCUGUAAACUAUGCAAACUCGGUGAUGCAUUGGCUUGAUGCCCAAUGCAGUGCCGCAGGGAAGCCGUUAAGUUUGCCGCCUGGGAAGUACGUACGCAAGUAUG
rnacentral:rRNA from 1 species